AGUGAACGCUGGCGGUAGGCCUAACACAUGCAAGUCGAACGGCAGCACAGUAAGAGCUUGCUCUUACGGGUGGCGAGUGGCGGACGGGUGAGGAAUACAUCGGAAUCUACUUUUUCGUGGGGGAUAACGUAGGGAAACUUACGCUAAUACCGCAUACGACCUACGGGUGAAAGCAGGGGAUCUUCGGACCUUGCGCGAUUGAAUGAGCCGAUGUCGGAUUAGCUAGUUGGCGGGGUAAAGGCCCACCAAGGCGACGAUACGUAGCUGGUCUGAGGGGAUGAUCAGCCACACUGGAACUGAGACACGGUCCAGACUCCGACGGGAGGCAGCAGUGAGGAAUAUGGGACAAGGGGCGCAAGGCUGAUCCAGCCAUACCGCGGGGGUGAAGAAGGCCUUCGGGUUGUAAAGCCCUUUUGUUGGGAAAGAAAAGCAGCAGGUUAAGACCCCGCUGUUCUGACGGUACCCAAAGAAUAAGCACCGGCUAACUUC
rnacentral:rRNA from 1 species